UCACGCGCGCCCGGGAAGCCCUGCAGAAGCACUCGGGGUGUUGUUUCCUGGUGCCGCCAAACUCGACUUCCUGGUUCUGUUGUGGGAGAAUCCGGGACAGUGCAGCCGCUGCAGCCCCGAGACCUGCUCUGCUCCUGAGAGGCUCCGGGCAGAGAGAAGCCCGGGCCAGUGCAUCCUCUGCUGCCCGUGACCGUCCUCUGCCCGUGAGAGGCCCCAGGCUCUGCAGCCCCUGCUGCCCGUGACUGCUCUGCCCGUGAGAGGCUCCAGGCUCUGCAGCCCCUGCUGCCCGUGACCGUCCUCUGCCCGUGAGAGCCCCAGGCUCUGCAGCCCCUGCUGCCCGUGACCGUCCUCUGCCCGUGAGAGGCCCCAGGCUCUGCAGCCCCUGCUGCCCGUGACCGUCCUCUGCCCGUGAGAGCCCCAGGCUCUGCAGCCCCUGCUGCCCGUGACCGUCCUCUGCCCGUGAGAGGCCCCAGGCUCUGCAGCCCCUGCUGCCCGUGACCGUCCUCUGCCCGUGAGAGGCCCCAGGCUCUGCAGCCCCUGCUGCCCGUGACCGUCCUCUGCCCGUGAGAGGCUCCAGGCUCUGCAGCCCCUGCUGCCCGUGACCGUCCUCUGCCCGUGAGAGGCCCCAGGCUCUGCAGCCCCUGCUGCCCGUGACCGUCCUCCAGCUCAGGCGCCCUGGGAAGGACGCCCGACUCCUUAGCUGCUGGGAAGUGGUGAGUGUGUGAGAGCGUCUCCUCAGGCCCCAGGGUGGGAGGGGGGCCAGUAGCCAGACCUUGGUGGCCUCACUCUCCAUUAUUGGCCUUGAGCCUUCAGGACUCAAAUUUUUCCAAAUCGUGCAGAGAGGAGGGGAGAGUGUCCAGGGACAGUUCCAACUUCAUGUUGGGCUGGAUUUUCACUCCCCCAGUGGCCAAAAUGACCAGUGCUGGACCAAGCUGAAUCCAGGAACCUGUAGCUUCCUCCAGGUGUUCCAUGUGGGUUAUAGGGGCUCAGGCACUUGGAUGAUCUGCCACUGACUUUCCCAGCUGAUUAACAGAGAGCUGGGUUGGGAAUGAAGCAGCUGAUUCCAUAUGUGAUAGUGGUGUUAUAAUUGAUAGCUUUACAUAUUAUACCACAAUGCUGGCCUUGGCUUUUUUUAUACUGAUGACAAUAUUUUUCUUUUUAUUUCUAUGUGCUGAUUCACAGCAAGUGUUUUACAUAUGGGACAAUAUUCUCACGUUACAAAUCAUGAUAAAUUCUGAUGCUGUAUAAAGCAUUGAUAAGAUAGAAGGAUUGGAGUUUCACAGUUCCUUCAUGCACAUUUAUUUAUUUUGUGAUUCUUUAGGAGUUGGUCUGACUUAAUUUUUUUCAUCUAGUAUUAACUGAAUUCUCUGUGUGAUAACUUUGCCAAAUAGUUGCCACUAACUUAUACUGUGAGCAGGAACUUGUACUGAUUACUGCAAGUUGGUGUGCACUCACUUGUGUUUUAUAAGAUUUUCCUCUACAUAAUAUGCUGCUCUAUUUAGAAUCACUGGGGAGAAGCCUGUGGUCCUCAAAAUUAUGUGUGAAAAGUUGCACCAAACAUCCAUGCCAAUUCUUCCCUUCAAAUUGUUAUUUUUUUCUCAUAGUUUUUACAAAUAUAUAUUAUUCAGGUAUUUUAUUUAUAAAAGUCUUGGAGACAGAGUGAUCUGUCAUUUUCUGGUUAACUCCUUAAAUUCUUGCAAAGUUGUGCCAAGGCCUGGUCAAAAAUAGGAGCCAGGAACUCCGUCUGUGUCGAUGAGAGCAGUCGCAAAGACUCACCUGUGAAAUUCGCUGAUUGCUUCCGGGGAGUGCGGUAGCAGCAAGAUGGAGUUUGUUGUGGAGUCAUGAGACAAGCAAAGCAAUUCCAGUGCAGAAUGAGGAUCUUCGGAGUGUUUUCUCAACCACACCACCAGAUUCCCACACCUCAUUUUAUUUGAGCAUCUUAUUAGAUUUCAUUUUCUGUCAUUAAGAUGUAAAGGAUGAGUGCCUCCUAAAUUUUUAUUUGUAUAGUUUAUGUAGAGUCUGCAAUGUUCAUUGCCUAUAAUCUAAACCCAAUUUUAAAUAACACUGUACUAUUCCUUGGGAAGUUCAGGUAUGUUAUGGUCCCAAUUUUUUCACCUAUCCUGUAUAUAAUUUCUGUCAUUGAAAUUGAAACAAUGUUAUUGCAAAUUGAAACAAUGUUGUUCAUUGUUGGUGAUAUCACUUUGAAUAAAGAUGUAUAUAUUAAAUGAUAUGUAAAUAGAGAAUGUGAAUGUACCCUCAUUUGAUGUCAAACACUCUUUUUGAAUGACCUGACAUCUAAAUCAUGUUGAACUUUUUGCCUGAUUAAUUUCUGUAUUAUUUGUUUAAAAGAAUGUGAGAGAAAAUUAGAAUUCCAAUUCACUGGUUUGCUUCCUAAGUGUCCACAACUGCCAAGUAUGUCGCAGGGCUUCGGCUGGGAGCUGAGAACCCAGUGCGGGUUCUUCCUAUGGGUAGCAGAAACCCAGUGCCUGAGGCCAUCACUGCUUCCCUAGGUCUGCUUUAGUAGGAAGCUGGAAUCAAGAUCAGAACUAGGAA